rnacentral:rRNA from 1 species
GACGAACGCUGGCGGCGUGCUUAACACAUGCAAGUCGAACGGAAACGCCCUGCUAUUUUGCGGUGCCCGAGUGGGGAUGGGGUGCGUGUCACGUGAGUAACCUGCCCUUGUCUUUGGGAUAGCUUAAGGUAACUGGGGUUAAUAUAGUAUCGCAUCCGCUCCACCAUUGUGAGGGUUGGAAAGUUUCGGCGGUCGGGGUUGGAUUCGCGGCUUUUGAGCUUGCUGGUGGGGUAGUGGCUUACCCACCCUUUGACCGGUACCCGGCCUGGGAGGGUGAACGGCGACAUGAGGACUGCGAGACGGCCCAGACUCCUACGUGAGGCAACAGUGGAGAGUAUUGCACAAUGAUCGGGAGCCUGAGACAGCGGCGUCGCGUGCGUGAUGACGGCCUGCGGGUUAUAAACCGCAUUAGCCUGUGACGAAGCUUUUGUGACGGUAACGGAAAAAGAAGCACCGGCUAACUUCGUG